rnacentral:rRNA from 1 species
CCUACGGGGCGCAGCAGUGAGGAAUAUUGGUCAAUGGACGAGAGUCUGAACCAGCCAAGUAGCGUGAAGGAUGACUGCCCUAUGGGUUGUAAACUUCUUUUAUAUGGGAAUAAAAUGUUCCACGUGUGGGAUUUUGUAUGUACCAUAUGAAUAAGGAUCGGCUAACUCCGUGCCAGCAGCCGCGGUAAUACGGAGGAUCCGAGCGUUAUCCGGAUUUAUUGGGUUUAAAGGGAGCGUAGGUGGAUUGUUAAGUCAGUUGUGAAAGUUUGCGGCUCAACUGUAAAAUUGCAGUUGAAACUGGCAGUCUUGAGUACAGUAGAGGUGGGCGGAAUUCGUGGUGUAGCGGUGAAAUGCUUAGAUAUCACGAAGAACUCCGAUUGCGAAGGCAGUUCACUGGACUGCAACUGACACUGAGGCUCGAAAGUGUGGGUAUCAAACAGGAUUAGAUACCCCGGUAGUC